rnacentral:lncRNA from 1 species
GGUCUGUGUUCCUAGGGAAGUGAAGUCAGACCUCUGCUGGAUGUCGCGUGUCCCCUAGGACUGCGUCCUCCCGCGCAGACAGGCUCCAGAGCACCACCCCACUGUGCCUCAUUCAGGAAGUGCUGUGAUCAAGAAACCACCACUGCUGCUGGUGCCAGGACUGUGAUUCCCAUCAACAGCACUGAUGGCCUGCACCUCACCUCUGACACCCAUGGGACUCUUGUAUGUGGACACCAGAAAGUCUGCUAAUUCUGGAACAAAAACCUGAAAUGUCUCCAUGAGAUGGACUGCUGAAAGAAA